rnacentral:rRNA from 1 species
GACGAACGCUGGCGGUGUGCCUCACACAUGCAAGUCGAGCGGACGAAGAUUGAAGCUUGCUUCAGUCCUAGUUAGCGGCGGACGGGUGAGUAACACGUAGGAAUCUGCCUUCAGGCGGGGGACGAACGGAACGAAAGUUGCGCUAAUACCCCACUAUGCGAGUAAUCGUAAAAGGAAGCAAUCCACCGGAAGAUGAGCCUGCGUCCGAUUAGCUAGUUGGUAGGGUAAAAGACCUACCAAGGCUACGAUCGGUAGUUGGUCUGAGAGGAUGAUCAGCCACAAUGGAACUGAGACACGGUCCAUACUCCUACGGGGGCGAGCAGUGGGGAAGUUUUGGUACGAAUAGGGCGGCCAAGACC